AAUCAACGCUGGCGGCGUGCCUCAGACAUGCAAGUCGAACGAUUAAAGCUCCCUUCGGGGAGUGUAUAGAGUGGCGCACGGGUGAGUAACACGUAAGUAAUCUACCCUCGAGUGGGGAAUAACGUCCGGAAACGGACGCUAAUACCGCAUAAUGCAGCGGCACCGCAAGGUGACAGUUGUUAAAGAUUUAUCGCUUGAGGAGGAGCUUGCGGCAGAUUAGCAGUUGGUAAGGCAAUGGCUUACCAAGGCUACGAUCUGUAACCGGUCUAAGAGGACGGUCGGUCACACUGACACUGAAUAACGGGUCAGACUCCUACGGGAGGCAGCAGUCGGGAAUUUUGGGCAAUGGGCGAAAGCCUGACCCAGCAACGCCGCGUGAAGGAUGAAGUA
rnacentral:rRNA from 1 species